rnacentral:rRNA from 1 species
UGGUGGAGUGAUUUGUCUGCUUAAUUGCGAUAACGAACGAGACCUUAACCUGCUAAAUAGCCCGCCCCGCUACGGCGAGGCGCCGGCUUCUUAGAGGGACUAUCGGCUCAAGCCGAUGGAAGUUUGAGGCAAUAACA